rnacentral:rRNA from 1 species
AUUGAACGCUGGCGGCAGGCCUAACACAUGCAAGUCGAGCGGAUGAAGGGAGCUUGCUCCUGGAUUCAGCGGCGGACGGGUGAGUAAUGCCUGGGAAUCUGCCUGGUAGUGGGGGAUAACGUCCGGAAACGGGCGUUAAUACCGCAUACGUCCUGAGGGAGAAAGUGGGGGAUCUUCGGACCUCACGCUAUCAGAUGAGCCUAGGUCGGAUUAGCUAGUUGGUGGGGUAAAGGCCUACCAAGGCGACGAUCCGUAACUGGUCUGAGAGGAUGAUCAGUCACACUGGAACUGAGACACGGUCCAGACUCCUACGGGAGGCAGCAGUGGGGAAUAUUGGACAAAGGGCGAAAGCCUGAUCCAGCCAUGCCGCGUGUGUGAAGAAGGUCUUCGGAUUGUAAAGCACUUUAAGUUGGGAGGAAGGGCAGUAAGUUAAUACCUUGCUGUUUUGACGUUACCAACAGAAUAAGCACCGGCUAACUUCGUG